rnacentral:misc_RNA from 1 species
CCUUUCAUUGCAGCAGAAUUGGGAUGGUUGAGUAUCUCGCCUCUCCGUUCUGCCUGUAUUCUACCCUUGUUUGUCAUAUACUAUUAUUUCCUCGGCAGGCUUGCCUGCCGAGUGAAACCAUUUAUAACCUUUUUAAUUUUCAAUCAGCGUCUGAAAAAAUUAAUAAUUA